UCCCCGAUAGCUCAGUCGGUAGAGCGCCGGACUGUUAAUCCGUAGGUCCCUGGUUCGAGGUCGGGGAGCCA
rnacentral:tRNA from 1 species